CCGAUGAAGGUCCCAAGAUGGGGGCCCGGGACGCACGACUCACAGGCCAUGCAGUUCCCUCUAAAGCAGGCGUCACGCGCCAUCUACCGGCAAGUGAGGUGUGUCAACCCGUGGUGUGAAUUCAGGAAUUUAGAGUUCACGAGGUGCACAAUUAAGGCCGAUUGGCCCAAUUACCGUCAAAGGAGGCGAGCCUAAACACAAACAAAGAGACAAGAAAAUGGAUUCGAAUGGAUUCGAAUGGAUUUAGAGG